rnacentral:misc_RNA from 1 species
GAGAGAGGGAGAGCUGCUAAGGGAAAAAGAAACAAGAAAACAGUCUUUGGCUCAACUUCUUGAUAGUUUCUACAUUAGAAAUGUGUUAAAUUAAUAUUUGAAAUCAUAAGAUUAUAUUUAAGCAUCUUAACUCCAAAAAUAGGGUAGCUUUUCCUGGAUUCAUUUUAUUAGUAAAAUUUUUGCUCAUAUAUAUUUAUAUAGGCCUAGCUAAACUCUGAUACAUUUGGGUAACUUUUCCUUUACAAAUCUAUGAACAGAAAAUGAAAGAUGAGAAUAUAACCAAGUAAUUUUCUUCUUCUUCGUCGACAAAACUAUGAGCUAAAACAAACCACAAGGACUGGUAGAUGCAAUUAAAGGAAAAACCAGUUAAAAAAAAAGGAUUAAAGUUACCUCAGAGUAGUAACCCAUAUUUGAUAUUAGUAGACUACAAUCUUUUCAUAAGUCAUGACUAAAACUUCUCAAGAAAUUGGGGUGUUUAUUAUACUGGAGCUUAGUCGUUUAAACCUCGGAAUUCCAUAUUCUUGCCGUUUCUUCUUCCUCUCUCCAUCUUGUUCUUCUCCUUCGUCUCUCCAUCUUAAAAGAGAAUUCCAAUUUCAGUAUUACUCAUAUAUAAUCAAUAUCGCUUUUUAAGAGAGCUGCUGUUACCCUUCUCAAGAAUCCUAAACUCUGAUGGAGUAGGAGUACUCUCAGUUUGCAGCUGUUGCACUUGGGUACCUUUAAAGUUGAACUCUUCUUCAUCUUUUUCUUGAGUGGAAGCAGUAGCUUUGUUUUGGUUAGCUCUCUCUCU